AAAAGUCCCUUUUUUUCACUUGAUUUUUGGGUAUUAAUUAUUAUGUUCAGAGCUCUUUCAUGUUGGUAUUUCGAAAAUGUCAGUCCACUGUCUUCUAGCUUCUAUUAUUUCUGUUGGGAAGUCACAUAUAAGUCUUGGCAUUCCUUCUUUGCAGAUUAUGUUUUGUUUUUCUUUCCUGGCUCUUAAGAUUUUGUCUUCCUCUUUUAUUUUUAACAGUUUUAGUAUGUUAUAAUCUUGUAUUAAUUCUACUUUUGGUCCUCAGUGCCUCUUUGCCCUAUGGGGUUCCUGGCAAUUGUUGGUGUGUUUUAUCUAUUAUGAGAAAUUAUUGGUCAUUAUUCUUUUAAAAUAUGGUGUUUGUCCUCAUACUCUUUCCAUUCCUGCUAUAAUUCUAAAAACCUAAAUUAAAUCUUCUUAUUGUGUUUUAUACAUCUUUUAUGCUUUUUCCUACAUUUUCUACCCUUUAUUCUCUCUGUGUUAUAUCUUAGGCAUUUUCUCCUUACCUAUCUUCCAGUUUAGUAAUCCUUAUUCUUCUCUAUCUAAUCUGCUGUUAAAUCCAUACUUUGAGUUCUUAAUUUCUGUAUUUUUAGUUGUAGAAUUUUUAUUUGACUAUCUUUUACAGUUUUUAGUUCUCACUAUUCAUCAAGAGUUCUUUUCCUCUGUUUUUGAAUGUGUUGAAUAGUACAUAUGAAAUGUGAUAAAAAUAAUUUGAGGCUUUGGGUGAUUGCUAUAAUCUUCCAGCAAGGAAAUAAGAAAGGGCCAUAGGACAAAUAUCAAAGCCAGAGUACUUUCAGUAAAAUGUCUCAGUAAAAAUGUGUGAUUAAAACAGUUUCUCAAGAAGACAGAAAGGUGUAAGUUUUUGCCUCAUAGACCCUUUUAAAUGAAAUUUCCUAAGGAUCUUAAGGGAAAAAAAAUUCACAAACCCUUUCCAUUAAACAAUGUGGCUCCUAAAAAUACUAAUUGUGUUAUUCCAUGGCAGUCCCACAGAACCAAAGGUAGAGAGAAAUACUUAUUUCCGAAGAGAUUUUUGAGUGUGGCUUUUGUUAAAUGGAAUGGUUUAUAAAUACAUAGGCAGGAAGGCCAUCAUACUUUUAUAGUCAUUAUAAAGGCUUGUGUAAACACAGGCCAUUUAUAAUAGAAAGAGAUACUAGAAAGGUGAAUCAAAAUUCCAGACGGAGAGUAGAGAUCCCCGGAAAAGAGCUGAGUCUAAUUCAAGGAACUGGAAAUAUAUACCUGAUUAGAUUUCAAAAUUGCUGUGGACUGGAGACUGCUUCUAUAUACUUUUUCCACUUUUUAAAAACAGGAGUACAUAUAUUAGUUACCCUAUGCCCAUCUGCAAUUGUAUGCUGUAUAGGUAGGGGGAAAAUAACUCAUUUCUUUAGUUGGUAGGUUUUUCAAUCAGGAGGACCCAUGCUCAAGGACCCAUACCUAAGGCCCCUUAUCCAUACUACACCUGAUUUAGAUGACUUAGGUCCUGGACAUUAAGUUAAUGUCAUAAUAAAAGGAGAUUUGGUGAGUCAAAGUGAAGAGACAUGUAUUUUGCACGUGAGAGGAAUGUAUUCAAUUUGUUAUCUCAGAGGGAAGACUAAAUAGUCACAAAUUCUUUGAUAAUUCUAUUGUUGAAUGGUAGGUAUUAUGUCUCCUCUUGUGUCUGGAUGGAUUUGUGACUACAUCAACCAAUCAAUUAUAGCAGAAGUAACACAUGUGACCUCCAUGGCUAAGCAACAAAAGGCUUUGCUGCCCUAACUUGGUUUUGUUGGGAUACUCACUGGAGAAGAGCUAAAUGCCACAUAAGAAGUAUGAUUACUGAUACCAUUAUGCUGGCAAGGCCCACAAAAGCACUCUGUUUAACAGCCUCAGCCAGCUAAGCUCCCAGGCAACAAUCAGCAUCAACUUCCGGCUCUAUAUGUGAACCAUAUUGAAUGUCUUGUCUAGUCAUUCCUUUGGGCUCAGCCAACACUUGAUUCCAGCCUCUUGAGAUACUCCAACUGACAACAUCCUAUCUGAGCGCUUCCUAAAAUCCUGGUGCACAAAACAGUAAGCAAAAUUAAAACUGUUUUAAGCCACUAAAUUUUGUGAUACUUUGUUAGGCAGCCAUAGUAGCUGUUAUACUAGGUGUAGGGUCUGGGAAUCUGAAUUUUAAUAGGCAUAGUAAGUGAUGCUUUUGCAUACCACAGCCUAUAAUUUGUACCACAGAUUAUAUGUGCACUGACCUCUGCUUCUUUCUCAACACCUAGUAGAAAAGGCCAGAGAGCAAAUAUAUCAUCCCAAACUUAACCUCUGGAGGUGAAGCACAAACCACUCAAUAACUGGAAUAAUCUCAUGACUAGUGGAGAAGCAACUCUCUCCAUAAUGUUCUGGGAAUAGAUGGUUUUCUCUCACAGUCUAGAUCCCCUGUUGCUACCUCAAACAUCUACAGCGUAAAAAAUCUUACUUCAUUCCUUUUCAUCCCUGCUGCUUCUUUGGGCCAGUGAGAGUGGGAAGCAGGCUUUGACUCAUUCAUUAAGCAAAAGCAGUGCUGUGCCUGUUUCUGAGGAAAAGGCAUUCAGGAAUGUGAGCUAACGUUAAAAUAGUCUUCUAGGUAUAUAACAAGAUGGAUUAUACUUUAACACUUGCAUGCAGAAAACUCAGUAUUUUUCUUAUGCUUUAUAAUCUUAUGUUGGUUAUGUACAAUCACGUGGAUUGUGUGCUACAAUCGUUCAUUAGUUCUUUUUAAUGAACUAGCACACCUGGUAUCUUUUACCCCCAAUCCUCAUUGCUUUAUUUGCUUUUCACCAGUCAUUAGAGGUAAUAGGGAAACUCAAGAGAAAGAGAACAGUUAUAUCAGAUAAAGAGAGACCAAAUGCAGGUGGUGAUGAGAUAUGAGUUAACGCAUCUGGGCUUAUUCAUCUCCCUCCCAUCUGACUUUAAGGCAAAGUACAGUUUCAAAUAUUAAAGGUAAAACUCCUUUUCUAAAUCUCUAGUACUCUAACUUGGUGCUAAUUUUCCUGAAUGCCAGAAGAUGAAACAAGACGGGGACUGAGCUUAUUAACAAUAUCUACUAUGUUCACUGUACUGCCCUUAUUAAUGAGUAAUUUGCUAUAUUUAACUUUCCAUCUCUAGAGUCUUGAGUAGGUAUAUAUCUACCAAGAUACUUAAGUGUGCAGCAAACAGUUUAGGUUCUUUUAAUAGCAUUGAUCAUUUAGUUUAACAACUCAGGUAUAAUUCCAUUUGUUUCUUUCUUUUUUCUUUUCCUCCCCAAAUACUUAUAUUUGACAUAAUUAUACAGAAAUAAAGGAUACGGAGUUGAACAUAGAAAGAAAAAUUCUGCAUUGUUGGAGCAAUAAAUUUUUUAAUCAGUCCAGUUCUGUUAGUAACCUUCCACUGUCUACUUUAUUGAUGCUGAAAAUACUUAAACAUAAUGCUAGGAGUACAAGGAUUCCUUUAAAACUACUUCUCAUGUUUAUAUCCCAAACUGUAAGAAAUCAGAGUCAGAGGUUGAAAAAGAAUGCCAACUUUAGAAUUUCUUUGAAAAAAACAGUUUUUGUUAUUAUUAUUUUAAAUAAAUAUUACUAAACAUAUAUAACAUACAUAAAAUUAAAUGAUAAUAAUAUUAUGAAAUAUGUCCUACAUAGUUAAAAGAUAAAGUCAAGAAAUAGAUGGCUUUACUAAUUAGUGAUUCAACAAUAAAUAGAGGAGCAUUUCAACUUUGGGGAUUUUUAUCCCCUUUUUCCAUAACUUGUUAUUUUCCUAUUAAAAAAGACAUUUGUUUAGAACUUUUCAGAUCACAGAAGUACUUAGAUUAUUUAUUGAACUCCAAGCAACAUCACAAAUCUGCCCACAAGUGUGAAGGUGUUAGGAAAAAAUGAUUUGCUCCCUUCCCAGUGAGCUUUCUGGUUUUAACCUAUAAUUAUCCAUUCAGAUCUUACACAGAUAAGGACAGAGAAAAUGAGAGCAUGGUCAUAUUUGGCAUAGACUAAUUAAAAAUUAGAAGAGAAUUCCACAUCCAUAGAAAGGGCAUAGUAUAUAAUAAAUGCCCCUAAGAAUAUUAUAGAGAAAAGGGAAUUGAAUCUUGAUAAAUAGAAACCUCACCUGAUUCCACAUCAGUGAUACAGGGUAGCAUGCUAUUGUAGGAAGACCCCUGGAUUAAGAGUCAGGACAUCUAAUUAUUCCUAGGUCAGCUGAGUGACCUUGGACAAAGUACCGCAACCACCUGUACAUUGGAAUCUUUAUUAUGAAACUACCCAUUUGAACAACAUAAUCUAUCUUUGUAGAUUCUUGUAUAUUGAUUAUAAAAAGAGAGAGAGGUUUAACUAUAUAACUAUUUCAUUUGCAGGAUAUUUUGUAAAUAAUUAGAGAAAGCCAAAUAACAAGUCCAAUUUCAUUAUACACAUUGAAGCCAGCUUAAAAUGAGACCCUGAGGAUAUAACUAAACAAGAGAUUGUAAUAUACAGUCAUUUUCUAUUCAUCUCUUGAUUAGUCUUGGAUGAAGGUAGAAGCUACUCAUACUACCAAGAUUAAGAUAGGGAUAUGUGGCAAGGAGGUUGUAGGGAAUGCUACGUUAUAUAUUUCAUCUAUCCACAUAGUAAAACUGCAUAUAAAUAUCUCCAAAACUUAGUACUUUAGGUAAUAGAUAUAUAGAAUGUGAUUUAUACUUCAUGUCUGAUGAAAAAAAUCCUACCUUAGGAAUAAAUCUUGUAAGAAAAUAUAUUUAUAGAAGGGAAUUUUACAUCAAGGAAACACAUUUUUAUAUACCUUAAAGCCAUCUAUUAGCUUAGCCAUAAUGAUAAAUCAUUCUUAACCAUAAUUUUAUUCAGUUUGUCCAAAUACAAUAGAAGGUCUUCUGGGACAAGCACUGUGAUUGUUUUGUUUGUCAAUACAUUCUCAGCAGCAAUAAAUUCAUAGCAAAAUGCUUGAUGUAAACAAAUUUUUACCAAGUGAGCAGCAUAUCCUGAGUUAAAAUUCAUGCAUGUCAGUUAGCUGUUCCUAUGCAGAAUUUCAAAUUUACUUUUCAACGAUAAUACAGUUUAUAUUUCUAAGAUGUUUGC
rnacentral:lncRNA from 1 species